rnacentral:rRNA from 1 species
UAUGAAUAAGGAUCGGCUAACUCCGUGCCAGCAGCCGCGGUAAUACGGAGGAUCCGAGCGUUAUCCGGAUUUAUUGGGUUUAAAGGGAGCGUAGGCGGACGCUUAAGUCAGUUGUGAAAGUUUGCGGCUCAACCGUAAAAUUGCAGUUGAUACUGGAUGUCUUGAGUGCAGUUGAGGCAGGCGGAAUUCGUGGUGUAGCGGUGAAAUGCUUAGAUAUCACGAAGAACUCCGAUUGCGAAGGCAGCUUGCUGGACUGUAACUGACGCUGAUGCUCGAAAGUGUGGGUAUCAAACAGGAUUAGAUACCCUGGUAGUCCACACAGUAAACGAUGAAUACUCGCUGUUUGCGAUAUACAGUAAGCGGCCAAGCGAAAGCGUUAAGUAUUCCACCUGGGGAGUACGCCGGCAACGGUGAAACUCAAAGGAAUUGACGGGGGCCCGCACAAGCGGAGGAACAUGUGGUUUAAUUCGAUGAUACGCGAGGAACCUUACCCGGGCUUGAAUUGCAACUGAAUGAUGUGGAGACAUGUCAGCCGCAAGGCAGUUGUGAAGGUGCUGCAUGGUUGUCGUCAGCUCGUGCCGUGAGGUGUCGGCUUAAGUGCCAUAACGAGCGCAACCCUUAUCGAUAGUUACCAUCAGGUUAUGCUGGGGACUCUGUCGAGACUGCCGUCGUAAGAUGUGAGGAAGGUGGGGAUGACGUCAAAUCAGCACGGCCCUUACGUCCGGGGCUACACACGUGUUACAAUGGGGGGUACAGAAGGCAGCUACACGGCGACGUGAUGCUAAUCCCUAAAGCCUCUCUCAGUUCGGAUUGGAGUCUGCAACCCGACUCCAUGAAGCUGGAUUCGCUAGUAAUCGCGCAUCAGCCACGGCGCGGUGAAUACGUUCCCGGGCCUUGUACACACCGCCCGUCAAGCCAUGAAAGCCGGGGGUACCUGAAGUGCGUAACCGCAAGGAGCGCCCUAGGGUAAAACUGGUGAUUGGGGCUAAGUCGUAACAAGGUAGCCGUACCGGAAGGUGCGGCUG